GCAGCAGGAGAAGCAAAAGUUCAGUAUCUACAUCAGGAAAUAACCCACAAGAAUGUUUACAACGAAAGGUGGAAAGCAUACAAAUACAAUCCUUCCUUCUCUGAAGAGCUUGAGGCUGUUACACAAUUGCAUUUACAAAUGAAUUUCCAUAACGACACUGGCCACGUAAAAACAUCUUUGGAUGUUUGAAAAAAAACUCUGAUUCCAAACAAAAGUGGGGAAGGAAUUAGUCUUCAGUUUCUUUGAUCUCUUUGCUCUUCCUCACUUCUACCACCCGUUUUCCCUUCUCACGUU